CCACCUGAGAGGAGUAUAAUACAUGUACAGGGAGACUGAGCAGACAAUCACAACUCGGGGAGCCACAGGCAUAUUAGCCGUCCUAUGUAGAGGACAAAGAAUUACAUGAUCGUGGGUUUUGUUAUGUUGUCUGUCUACAUGUGUCGCUCCACCAUUGACUUUACCAUGGUGUAGAUGGGAAGACAAAUUGAGUUAUUAUUACAAAGGAAGAAUUAGCUAAGAAUGUUUUGGAGGUGAAAAGAGUAUCAGAUCAAGUGAUGAGGCUGAAACUUGAAAUUGAGGGUGUUUUGUAUAAUGUGUUUAGCAGCUAUACCCCACAGGUAGGAUGUCACCUAGAGGUGAAAGAGAAAUUCUGGAAGGAGCAAGAUGUAGUUCUGAGCAUCCCUGACCGAGAGAGACUUGUGAUUGGUGCAGAUUGUACUGGACACGUUGGUGAAGGAAACAGGGGUGAUGAAGAAGUGAUUGGUAAGUACAGCACCCAGGAAAGGAACUUGGAGGGACAGAUGGUGGUAGACUUUACAAAAAGGAUGGAAAUGGCUGUUGUGAAUUUUUUUUUUUUUUUUUUUUUUCUCUCCAGAAGAGGCAAGAACAUAGGGUGACCUACAAGAGCGGAGGUAGAAGCACGCAGGUGGUUACAUCUUGUGCAGACGAUGUAAUCUGAAGGAGGUUACUGACUCUAAGGUAGUGUGUGCGUCAAGUCUCGCUUACCCCAGGCUCCCAUGCACCUUUAGGCACUAUGAGAGUCCUGACUGGCUCUCGGUUUAAAGGGUUAAAGCUAAAAUUUUCCAUUAGUUUUUGCCAUUACUCAACGUGUUAGAGAAGGGUGUGGCUAGACAGUAUAGGAUGGUGUUGUGUAAGAUGACUCUGAUGGUAGGAAGGAAGAAAAAGCCAGAGCAGAGAACCAUGUGGUGGAAGCUGAGAAAGGACUUUUCAAGAAGAGGUGAGACAGGCUCUCAAUGGACACGAGGAGCUUCCAGAAGACUGGACCACUACAGCCAAAGGUGCUCCUCGCAAGAUUUCUGACAGAGGAGUGCAAAGAAUAAUCAGAAGAGUUGUCCGAGAGCCAAGGACCACCUGUGGAGAGCUUCAAAAAGACCUGGAAUUAGCAGUGACAUCGCUCCAGGCAAUACCUGCAGUUUCUGGUCCACCAGUUUGAGGGCUCUCUCGGCAUGGACGGAUCCCAGGAAGCGGUGCACCAAUGCCGUCCAGCCAAAAGAAAAGCGAAACUCUAUGUCCUCCUGGAAGUCGCUGCACAGCGAGGCGCAGUUGAGGUCGUAAC